rnacentral:rRNA from 1 species
UACGUAGGGAGCGAGCGUUGUCCGGAUUCAUUGGGCGUAAAGAGCUCGUAGGCGGCUUGAUUAGUCGGAUGUGAAACCUCCAGGCUCAACCUGGAGUCGCCAUCCGAUACUGUCAUGGCUAGAGUCCGGUAGGGGCCCACGGAAUUCCUGGUGUAGCGGUGAAAUGCGCAGAUAUCGGGAGGAACACCGGUGGCGAAGGCGGUUCUCUGGGCCUUACCUGACGCUGAGGAGCGAAAGCGUGGGGAGCGAACAGG